AUUGAACGCUGGCUGCAGGCCUAACACAUGCAAGUCGAACGAGUGGCGGACGGGUGAGUAAUGUCUGGGAAACUGCCCGAUGGAGGGGGAUAACUACUGGAACCGGUAGCUAAUACCGCAUACCAUCGGAUGUGCCCAGAUGGGAUUAGCUUGUAGGUGAUGUAACGGCGCACCUAGGAGACGAUCCCUAGCUGGUCUGAGAGGAUGACCAGCCACACGGGAACUGGGACAGGGUGCAGACUCAUACGGUAGGUAGCAGUGGGGAUUAUGGCACAAUGUGGGACAGCCUGAUGCAGCAAUGCGGCGUGUAUGAAGCAGGCCUGCGGGUUGUAAAGUACGUUCAGCGGGGAGGCGUUACCCGCAGAAGAAGCACCUGCUAACUCCGUGCCAGCCGCCGCGGUAAUAC
rnacentral:rRNA from 1 species